ACACUGUGCCCAACCGGGGCGCGCACGGGCCGGCAAGCACGGACCGGACGCCCCGCGUUGAUACGAUACGAUAAUCCACACGACUCUCGGCAACGGAUAUCUCGGCUCUCGCAUCGAUGAAGAACGUAGCGAAAUGCGAUACCUGGUGUGAAUUGCAGAAUC
rnacentral:rRNA from 1 species